UUACAUACAAUACAUAGGACUACAUCUUCACACUACAGCCCAAGAUAAUGGCUAUCUGUUUAAAAAUUAGAAUAUCACCAAAAUUCAAAAAUUAGAAUAUCACCAAACUUCAGUAAGAAUUCCAUCUGAUGAGAAAAGUGUUAUAUGUGUGAAAACAAAUGACACAUAAGGGAGUUUUAUUUGACCUUUUUUUUUUUUGGGCCAUUGGAUUGCAUCUAAUCCAAUGGUUGUGGUGUUGUAGGAACUUUACUCUUUUGAAAAGAUUAAAACUAUUUUAUAUUCCAAUGGUUGUGGUAUUGUAAGAACUUUACACUUUUGAAAUGAUUAAAACCCUUUUGUUUAGAGAGAGAAAGAGUGAGAAAAAGAUAAAGAAAUUGGGCCGCAAUUAGGUUUUCUCUUGAGGGCUUAGUAUGCUUUGUUUUAGAGAGAAAAAUUGAGCAAAAGGCUUGAACUAUACAUUGUGGGUUUGCUGUAUACCAUGUUUUAG
rnacentral:lncRNA from 1 species